CCUGUUCUCCAUUCUCUCUACAGGAUGAGCUUCAAACCACUACUAAGAACUACGAGAGUCAGCUGAGUAUGAUGAGUGAACAUCUGUGCAGUAUGAAUGAGAAGCUAACAUCUCAGAAGGAUGAGAUCGAUGCCUUGAAGCUUUCUAUGAAGCAGCAACAUGGCAAGAAAGGCAGAGGAAAGUGAAGGGACUAUUCAAGGCACAAACAUCAUGUAGCUUUACCUUUAAAAGUGUUUAUCAUUGAAAUAGAUUUUUUAACUCUUCUUGUAAUAUCAGGAGAUUAAUCAUGAGAAUGUAUGAAAACAAGGCAGGGCCUUGGUUUUUACCAAAAAAUAUCUUACUUGCUGACAAUUGCUUGUGUAUUAAGGUAUUAUAACUGACCAAAUCAUGUAUGGAUAUAUGCAGAUGUUAUGAUUCUCUGUGCUAUGGAGCUUAUCUUAGUGUUAUGGGCAAUAGGGUAAUCUCUUACAUUUGUCUGAGAUUGAUCUCCUCCAAAAUUGAUCUCCAAAUUCUUAAGACAAUCCCAGAGGUUACAUUGUGAACUUAUAUGUAGGUAUGUCUUUUUAGAGUAUGUUUUAUAUUCACAUUUAUACGCCUUAGAAAAUAUUGUCAAACAUGUAAUUCUAGGGUUAUAAAUCAGUUUUUGGUUUUGUUUGGGGUUAGGGUUAGGUAGAGUGUUGGGUCCAUGGUUAGAAUUUGACUAAUCUAAGAUAAUGACUUGCGUUAUCAUCCAUAAGUACAUGAUUACCUUGGAUUGUAUGCACUUAACACAUUCCAUCAUUACGCUGCUAACCUUUAUAGGUAAUUCUUGAUCAUUGAGAAAUAUAAUCAGAGGCUUCAAUUUGUCACCAAGUACAAAUACUUUAAAUUAGUCAUCACAGGUAUUCUGAUGGGGAUCAUAGUAAAAUACAGUUAUUUUUAAUGUUAUGCUGCAAUUUGUCAUCGCUUACUACCCAAGAGGAUUCUAAUGGCUAAAAGUUUGCAUAUCCUAGGGAUAAUGCUUUGACUACAUUUUCUUUAUGUUUAGUAGAACAAUAGGAACAAAUUACUUUACUUUGGUAUUUUUACAGUUUUAUAGAGUUAAAAAAAAAUAUAUAUAUGCCAGUAAAGAGCACUUUUGAAGGAAACAAAUUGAAGUAAUUGGUGAUAUCUAUUUGAAAUUGCAUAGAAAUUCAAAAUCACCCUUUAGUAAAUAUUGUUACACCCUAAUUAAUUAGCAAUUUCUUUUCUUGCUGAAGAUCGUAGAAUUAGUGUCAAACACUAUUUCAGAUGCCUUAUAAACUAAGUUGACUUUCAUACCUAUCAGUACAUAAAUACCAAGAACAAACCUUGUAGUAAUCACAUAAUUUGGAGGAGUUUUUUAAGGAGUUGAACCUUAAUUCUUUCUAAGAUCAUACAUUAUAUAUUGACCUUGAAUGUUUGUAAUGCAUUCUGUAUAUUCUUGUGUUAUUGCUAGUAGUCUACCUGUGAGAAAUAGUCAAGUAAAAUGAAAAGAAUUUUAAAUCAAAAUAGAAAUCCUCUCUGCGUUUGAUAUGACAUCUAAAACCUAUCCAUGUACCGGUAGUAAUAAAUGUGGCUUUCAAUGUAUGUAUGAUUUUUUGUUUAUAGCUAAUUAUAUGCAAUAUGUAGAUACAAACUUACACUCCCAUACUGACCAGAUACAUUCAAUAUUGAAUAUAAGCUACUUUUAUUAUAUUUCCAUCAAAUAAUUAUACUAAUGAGAGAUGUGUUUUAACACAAUUUGAGCUAUUACAAGAGCAUCAAAUAUGAGGUAGAGGUCCUCUUUCUGAUCCGGUAAAUUAAUCUCAAAUACCACUCAUUGUGGAUAUAAGAAUAUCAUUUACGUCUCUUUUUCAUGGUUGAAUUCGUCCUAAUCAUAUUAUUUCAUCUUUUCAUUUAUUUUAAAUAACUAGAACUGAAAUUAGAAUGCUUUCAAAAUUGUUGUAAAGUUUAUGAAAGAGGACUCAAAAUCCAAAUAAAGUUUGUCAUGUAUCAUUUGAUUAACUCCUAAAUGUUGUCAUUUACCCCCCCCCCCCCCACCCCACCCCACCCCCGUUUGUGUUUAGUGUUGUGUGUUAUAGAAAAAAGAAGCUUGUUGUUUGAGUACAAUUUGUGUGUUUGCAUGAGGCACUGUUUAUAAUCAUUGCUCAAAGUCUGAGAGCAUAUAAUGAGGUUGUUUUUCAUUUGGUAUUUGAUUUGAACUUUUUACAAUUUUUUUAUUGAUUUGCAUAACUUUUUUUUAUUUUUAAGCAAUAAGAUUUUUAUUUUCAGUACUUGUGUUGUUUGCCAUUUAUAUAAAAAUAUGUAUUUUCAUGUAUUUCUUUUAUUGCCAUGUAUUUAAACAAGGCGAUGAAGGGAAUUUUAGAAUAACAUCAAUGGUACAAGUUGCAACUCAUAUCUUUUGAGCAAAGUCAUUUAUCAGCUUGCCAUGAGAAUGAAGGAGUAUGGGUCGUUAGUUAGCCUGUAAUAAUUGGAGGAGAAUAAGCUUGCCAAAUUUGUGUUUGUACCAAAUAUUUCUCCUCAGGUAGUCAGUACAUAUUGUAUCACCUUUCUGCAUGUUACAAUGAUAAUUUGAGAGUGUAAAUCUGAAUACAUGUAUAUCUGAAUACUUUUUUUGCUAUAAUCUUCUUUCUAGUAUUGUUGCUUUCUUGUUAAUGGAUUUCAAGCUGCACAAGUGUUUACCAUCUGUGUUAUCUGUAGGGCAUGCAAGUAUCUUGUGAUAAUUUCCCACACUUUGCUCAGUGAUAACUUUAUCUUUACCAAGUUAUUUUUUUCUUGUUACUAUCAUUUUUUGAUGUGCCUGUAAUAUCUCUUAAUAUGUAGCUUGACAUUGUGUCCAUUUAAAAAAAUCACAUAUAA
rnacentral:lncRNA from 1 species